UGGGAUCAGAAAAAGCUUGAAAUUCCUCCUGUACCUUAAACCUAAACAGCUGCGAGAGCCCCAGAGCAGGAAGCGCGGCUGCGGCUGAGAAGCUGGAGGAGGACCGGGGCGGGGAGGAGUAGCCCCAGCAGCAACAGCAGCCAGCCCGGGGGCGUCCUCUCCCAGCGGUGACCAGGGCCAGCCUUUGCCAGCCUGCCCGUCCUCGGACUCCUGGGGAACGUACACACAGCCUUUUGCUUAAGCAAGGCGCUCUGAAGCCGAAUUACGUCUGCCUGGCAUCCCGAAA
rnacentral:lncRNA from 1 species